rnacentral:rRNA from 1 species
UACGGAGGGUGCAAGCGUUAAUCGGAAUUACUGGGCGUAAAGCGUGCGUAGGCGGUUCGUUAAGUCUGUUGUGAAAGCCCCGGGCUCAACCUGGGAAUGGCAAUGGAUACUGGCGAGCUAGAGUGUGUCAGAGGAUGGUGGAAUUCCCGGUGUGGCGGUGAAAUGCGUAGAGAUCGGGAGGAACAUCAGUGGCGAAGGCGGCCAUCUGGGACAACACUGACGCUGAGGCACGAAAGCGUGGGGAGCAAACAGG